UACGUAGGGGGCAAGCGUUGUCCGGAAUCACUGGGCGUAAAGCGCAUGUAGGCGGCUGCACAAGUCCGUUGUUAAAACCCCUGGCUCAACUGGGGGAGGUCAAUGGAGACUGUGCGACUUGAGGGCAAUAGAGGCACGUGGAACUCCCGGUGUAGCGGUGGAAUGCGUAGAGAUCGGGAAGAACACCAGUGGCGAAGGCGACGUGCUGGGUUGCACCUGACGCUGAGAUGCGGAAGUUUGGGGAGCAAACGGG
rnacentral:rRNA from 1 species